AAUAUGCUCUCCCCGCUCGACCCUGCCGGCCGCCACGUGGGGCGCUGCGGAGACCGGUCGGCCCACAGCGCUGGGGCGCCUAGUCGGGGCGCCGGGCGACCGGACGCGUCGUCGCCGCUACCGGGGCCUCGGACUCCUUCGGCCUCGUCGGCUGUCGCUUUUCUGUCGUACGCCCUGCGCUUUCACGCUUCGCUGUCAAUCCGAGCGCACUCCCAGCACCCCGCGCACACGGGUGCACGCACGCUCAGCGUGUUUUGCACGGUGUGUACACACUUGACGUGCUCCUGCUGAAGGCCCCGACGCUGCCCGUCAAAGCUGCGGCCCAGGCGACCUCAGCCACGAGCUUCCCCUCCUCUCCGCUGGUCAUCCCUCCUCGCGCACGGAAGUGCGUCGGGGGAAGAAAAGCGCCUCCUUUCGGUAGGCAAACCGCCCGGCAGUUCACCAGAAAGAAAAACUUUCACCACCACCCUGGGAGGGCUGAAUAAUAUUCUGUUGUCCGGAUGUACCAAAGUUUAUUUAUCCAUCCACCUACUGAAGGACAUCUGGGAUGCUUCCAAGUUUUGGCAAUAAAAAUAAGCUUCUGGCUUCCCUGGUGGCGCAGUGGUUGAGAAUCUGCCUGCCAAUGCAGGGGACACGGGUUCGAGCCCUGGUCUGGGAAGAUCCCACAUGCCGCGGAGCAACUAGGCCCGUGAGCCACAACUACUGAGCCUGCGCGUUUGGAGCCUGUGCUCCGCAACAAGAGAGGCCGCGAUAGUGAGAGGCCCGCGCACAGCGAUGAAGAGUGGCCCCCGCUUGCCACAACUAGAGAAAGCCCUCGCACAGAAAUGAAGACCCAACGCAACCAAAAAUAAAAUAAUAAAUAAAUUAAUUAAUUAAUUAAAAAAAAUACAAUUUAAAAAAAAAAUAAUAAGCUUCUGUAAACAUCGAGGUGCAAAUUUUUACAUGGACAUAAGUUUUCAACUCAUUUGGAUGAAUACUAAGCACCAUAAUUUCUGGAUUGUAUGGAGUGAAGAAAGCUCUGGAGGGAACGUGGAACAGUGAAAGAAGAGAAAAGCUUUACCUUGAUAGAAUCAGGACCACCAACGGACCUUUUCUGUCUCUAGCUUGGAACCUGGGAUCAGAAAGGAACAUUCACCUUCUGCACUUCGUCUUUUCUCCUUCACGUGUUCUUGAGCUGCACAGAUAACCUGCCUUACCACUUCAAGAGAAGCCAGCUGAAUGGAAGGUGAUUCUCGGGUCAAAAUUACUCGAUGUAGUACAUUCAACAACUCGAUACCCAAGUCCUAUCACAGAAAACAGGAAGCUGGGAGGCAAAUUCUGAAGGCAAAGUUAGGAGAGCAAAAUCCUGAAGCGCAGCAAGCCAGAGCCUACUUAAUGUGCCAAGAUCUGCGUGGACUAAGUCAAGCAGCCCGUCUGAUGAAAUCGACCCAUUUCCAACACUUUCUUCUGAACAGGUCGUCUUCAAAGAUGUGAUGGAGCCUGCUGACCAACUGGGGAACUGGUCUGGAUUCCCUAACUGCCAGCCAUCAGAAGCUGCCUUUGAAUCAUGAGAGGCUGCUCAAUGCACCAGUCAAAAAAACACCAGUUAAAAAGCUUACAGAACCAGUAAUAGAAACCUGAAUUCUUUUCCAAGUCUAGGGGAAAAAAAGGAGGUUAUAUCUAGACUAGGAGUAAUAAUUUGAAGAUGAAACCGGCAUGUAGCCUAAAUGGAAUGUUUAUUAAUGAUUUGGUGUUAUCUUAGCUUAUUUGGAUAUUUUGUAAAGAAUUUCAUUAUCAAAGACCUUUGGACUUCUCUGGUGGCGCAGUGGUUAAGAAUCCGCCUGCCAAUGCAGGGGACACGGGUUCGAGCCCUGGUCCAGGAAGAUCCCACAUGCCGCGGAGCAACUAAGCCUGUGCCCCACAGCUACUGAGCCUGCACUCUAGAGCCCACGUGCCACAACUACUGAAGCCCGUGUGCCUAGAGCCCGUGCUCCGCAACAAGAGAAGCCACCGCAAUGAGAAGCCUGUGCACUGCAACAAAGAGUAGCCCCCGCUCGCAACAACUAGAGAAAGCCCGCGCACAGCAAUGAAGACCCAACGCAGCCAAAAAUAAAUAAAUUUUUUUUAAAAAAGAACAAUACCUAUCCCACAGGGUUAUUGUUAAAGAUUAACUUAGCAAAUGAAUAUUAAAAAAGAAAAGCCCUUUAUUCCCCCAAAAUUACCAAAAAGGUUUUAAUUAUGAAAAUUAACCUUUAGCAUUAUAAAAGACCUGUUUUAUGUAUUAUUUUGCUUUUACAUGACGAUUUCUUCUUUAAACAUAUACUGAUUAUACUGGUGAUAUAUUAGCAGAGAUACAUACUCAUUUACGUAUUAAAAGGUGACAUGCCAAUUAGUUUCACUUUUAAUAAUAAUAAAGUUCUCUAG